rnacentral:rRNA from 1 species
CCCUUAGAUGUCCUGGGCCGCACGCGCGUUACACUGAUGCAUUCAACGAGCUUAUAACCUUGGCCGAGAGGCCUGGGCAAUCUUGUUAACGUGCAUCGUGAUAGGGAUAGAUUAUUGAAAUUAUUAAUCUUGAACGAGGAAUUCCUAGUAAACGCAGAUCAUCAAUCUGCAUUGAUUACGUCCCUGCCCUUGUACACACCGCCCGUCGCACCUACCGAUUGGAUGGUCCGGUGAAGCCUCGGGAUUGUGGUUCUUGCCGCUUUAUUGUGGCGUGACCGCGAGAACUUGUCUAAACCUUAUCAUCUAGAGGAAGGUGAAGUCGUAACA